GUGUAGCUCAGUGGUAGAGUGCUUGCCUAGCAUGUGCAAGGUCCUGGGUUCAAUCUCUAGUACA
rnacentral:tRNA from 1 species